rnacentral:rRNA from 1 species
AUGUGGGUAUCUACCCUUUGGCCUGGAAUAACACGAGGAAACUUGUGCUAAUACCGGAUAAGUCUUUACGGAGAAAGCUUUAUGCACCAUUGGAUGAGCCUGCAUUUGAUUAGUUUGUUGGUGGGGUAAUGGCCUACCAAGACUGUGAUCAAUAGCUGAUUUGAGAGGAUGAUCAGCCACAUUGGGACUGAGACACGGCCCAAACUCCUACGGGAGGCAGCAGUGGGGAAUAUUGCACAAUGGGGGAAACCCUGAUGCAGCCAUGCCGCGUGUGUGAAGAAGGCCUUGGUUGUAAGCACU